rnacentral:lncRNA from 1 species
AUGGAAGUGGUGGAGAUGAUGGAUCAGAUCGUCCACGGGUGUGGGAGGACUCAUCAGGACUGGGCCAGCCCCAGCUCCAGGGGGCCCCAGCCACAGAGCCCAUGGCAUUGUCCAUGAUGCUGCUGAACCUGGCAGAGCAGCUCAGGGAGGCAGACAAGGAACUGGCAGGCAAAUACACAGAGCUGGGGAACUGGUGCACUUGGAGGAUUCUGCAGCUCAUGCAG